rnacentral:rRNA from 1 species
CCUACGGGAGGCAGCAGUGGGGAAUAUUGCGCAAUGGGCGAAAGCCUGACGCAGCGACGCCGCGUGAGGGAUGAAGGUCUUCGGAUCGUAAACCUCUGUCAGCAGGGAAGAACGGUCACUGUGCUAAUCAGCAGUGAAUUGACGGUACCUGCAAAGGAAGCACCGGCUAACUCCGUGCCAGCAGCCGCGGUAAUACGGAGGGUGCGAGCGUUAAUCGGAAUUACUGGGCGUAAAGCGCUCGUAGGCGGUAUAUCAAGUCAAGGGGGAAAUCCCCGCGCUCAACGUGGGAACUGCCUUUGAAACUGGCAAACUGGAGUGUGUGAGAGGAUAGUGGAAUUCCAGGUGUAGGAGUGAAAUCCGUAGAUAUCUGGAGGAACAUCAGUGGCGAAGGCGACUAUCUGGCACAUAACUGACGCUGAGGAGCGAAAGCGUGGGUAGCAAACAGGAUUAGAUACCCCAGUAGUC